rnacentral:snRNA from 1 species
GCAACCUGUACACGUGUUAAACUGGGAACGAUACAUAGAAGAUUAGCAUGGUCUCUUGCUCAAAGAUGACACGCACAAUCGUGAAGACAGCAGCAGCAGC